CCUACGGGAGGCAGCAGUGGGGAAUAUUGCACAAUGGGCGCAAGCCUGAUGCAGCGACGCCGCGUGAGGGGUGAAGGCCUUCGGGUUGUAAACCUCUUUCAGUAGGGAAGAAGCCGGCUUUUUGGGUUGGUGACGGUACCUGCAGAAGAAGCGCCGGCUAACUACGUGCCAGCAGCCGCGGUAAUACGUAGGGCGCAAGCGUUAUCCGGAAUUAUUGGGCGUAAAGAGCUCGUAGGCGGUUUGUCGCGUCUGCCGUGAAAGUCCGGGGCUUAACUCCGGAUCUGCGGUGGGUACGGGCAGACUAGAGUGCAGUAGGGGAGACUGGAAUUCCUGGUGUAGCGGUGAAAUGCGCAGAUAUCAGGAGGAACACCGAUGGCGAAGGCAGGUCUCUGGGCUGUAACUGACGCUGAGGAGCGAAAGCAUGGGGAGCGAACAGGAUUAGAUACCCUGGUAGUCCAUGCCGUAAACGUUGGGCACUAGGUGUGGGGGACAUUCCACGUUUUCCGCGCCGUAGCUAACGCAUUAAGUGCCCCGCCUGGGGAGUACGGCCGCAAGGCUAAAACUCAAAGGAAUUGACGGGGGCCCGCACAAGCGGCGGAGCAUGCGGAUUAAUUCGAUGCAACGCGAAGAACCUUAC
rnacentral:rRNA from 1 species